UACGAGGGGAGCUAGCGUUGUUCGGAAUUACUGGGCGUAAAGGGCGUGUAGGCGGUACCAUAAGUCAGAUGUGAAAGCCCCAGGCUUAACCUGGGAGGUGCAUUUGAUACUGUGGAACUAGAGAUCGAGAGAGGAAAGUGGAAUUACGAGUGUAGAGGUGAAAUUCGUAGAUAUUCGUAAGAACACCAGUGGCGAAGGCGGCUUUCUGGCUCGAUACUGACGCUAAGGCGCGAAAGCGUGGGGAGCAAACAGG
rnacentral:rRNA from 1 species